CGAAGGUCCCGUGUUCCUGAUUCCGUUCCUUUGCAGAAAGACAGAUGGUAGUGACGGAGGACAGAUCAGCGGCUGCCAGGGCUUGAGCCUGGCUGCGGAGCAAAGAGGAGGGGCCUGGAGUCAAGCCCCAGACUGGAGGGAAAUACAAUCACAGGUGUGAGCCUGGAUGACGUGGAGACUAUUAUUUGAGUGACUGGAAGUGGCUGGAAGGUGACGGACCUGGACUGCGGUAUCACCGGUGGCCCUCUGAGUGCAGAAGAUAAAGGCUCAGCGUCCAGAGGCUCCGCCACCCCCACCCCGAUUACCACCCAAGGACCGCCAGGGCCCCUGUAUGAAGCCACGCCCUCCAGCCUGGCACCAGGGCCUGCACCUUCCUGCCUCUUCAGGGACGUCACUCCCGAGGUCCCCGCUCUGUCUCCCACUGCACCAAAAUUUUCUGCAGAGCCUGCGUACGAGGCUGUCGUCUCUCCCUGCCCAACAUGAGAUCGGGCCCUCUCUGCUGUGUCAGCUAUAUCUGCGUUCCUCUGGUCACCGCGGCAGCCCGGCCCCCCAUAGGUUGUCUGUGUUUGUCGUCCCCAGUUCUCUCCCUCCUGUGUUCUCUUACACCAAGUGCAGUCUGACGUCCGCCCGCCCCCACCGCCGCUCCACCACACCUGCCAUUGGCAGCAUCCUCAGGACUUCCGCGUCGUCCAGCUCCCUGCCCCCCAAGGGUGCCCCCUGUGCCUGAGCCCUGGCUCCAGCAGGCUUGGCCCCUGGAAGAGGAGGAGGAGGAAGAGGAAGGCCCAGGAAGCAGGACUGUCUGUGGGGAGGCAGGUGGGUGCAGCCGCCACAGCGGCACCUCCAAUCUGUUACCAUCAGCACUAACUAACUGUCCUUUUCCCGAGGUGCGGUCUGCCUCAUUCGGCUUGAAAUAAACAUCUCAUAUUUCGGUCGCA